rnacentral:rRNA from 1 species
GACGAACGCUGGCGGCGUGCUUAACACAUGCAAGUCGAGCGGGGUUAAAGACUAACACUGAGUAUUUGAUGCAAUCUGGGUAUUACAAAGGCAGCGCAUAUGCAAAAACAACCACUAAACAGGGGACAUUCCACAGCAAGGAUGGCCCGUGUAACCAGUGGAGUGUUCCCAUAAUGGGUUUUUGCAUUACGCGUUUUAAUAGUGCUAACACCUAGACAUGAAGUACUGAGUGUUAGACUUUAACCUAGCGGCGGACGGGUGAGUAACGCGUGAGCAAUCUGCCUCGUACAGGGGGAUAACAGUCGGAAACGGCUGCUAAUACCCCAUGAGACCCCACUACCGCAUGGUAGAGAGGUCAAAGGAGCAAUCCGGUAUGAGAUGAGCUCGCGUCCCAUUAGCUAGUUGGUAAGGUAAGAGCUUACCAAGGCGACGAUGGGUAGCCGACCUGAGAGGGUGAUCGGCCACACUGGGACUGAGACACGGCCCAGACUCCUACGGGAGGCAGCAGUGGGGAAUAUUGCGCAAUGGGGGGAACCCUGACGCAGCAACGCCGCGUGAGUGAAGAAGGCCUUCGGGUCGUAAAACUCUGUCAUUGGGGAAGAAGGACGUGACGGUACCCAAUGAGGAAGCCCCGGCUAACUACGUGCCAGCAGCCGCGGUAAUACGUAGGGGGCGAGCGUUGUCCGGAAUUACUGGGCGUAAAGGGUGCGUAGGCGGCCGAUUAAGUCAGAUGUGAAAAACCACGGCUCAACUGUGGGGGUGCAUAUGAAACUGGUUGGCUUGAGUGCAGGAGAGGAAAGUGGAAUUCCUAGUGUAGCGGUGAAAUGCGUAGAGAUUAGGAGGAACACCAGUGGCGAAGGCGACUUUCUGGACUGUAACUGACGCUGAGGCACGAAAGCGUGGGGAGCAAACAGGAUUAGAUACCCUGGUAGUCCACGCCGUAAACGAUGGAUACUAGGUGUAGGGGGUAUCGACCCCCCCUGUGCCGGAGUUAACGCAAUAAGUAUCCCGCCUGGGGAGUACGGCCGCAAGGCUGAAACUCAAAGGAAUUGACGGGGGCCCGCACAAGCAGCGGAGCAUGUGGUUUAAUUCGAAGCAACGCGAAGAACCUUACCAGGGCUUGACAUCCCAAUGACGGGUAUAGAGAUAUACCUUUUCUUCGGAACAUUGGAGACAGGUGGUGCAUGGUUGUCGUCAGCUCGUGUCGUGAGAUGUUGGGUUAAGUCCCGCAACGAGCGCAACCCCUAUUAUUAGUUGCCAUCAGUUGAAGCUGGGCACUCUAAUGAGACUGCCGGGGAUAACUCGGAGGAAGGUGGGGAUGACGUCAAAUCAUCAUGCCCCUUAUGUCCUGGGCUACACACGUGCUACAAUGGCCUGAAACAAAGGGAAGCGAAGGCGUAAGUCGGAGCGAACCCCAUAAACCAGGUCCCAGUUCGGAUUGUGGGCUGCAACCCGCCCACAUGAAGUCGGAGUUGCUAGUAAUCGCGAAUCAUCAUGUCGCGGUGAAUGCGUUCCCGGGCCUUGUACACACCGCCCGUCACACCAUGGGAGUCGGGGGCACCCGAAGCCGGUGACCUAACCGAAAGGGAGGAGCCGUCGAAGGUGAAACUGAUGACUGGGGUG